UCCGGUAUGGUGUAACGGCUAACAUUGCCGCCUUUCAUUGUAUGAGUGCGCGGCGGCUCGGGGUUCGAUUCCCCGUACCGGAA